rnacentral:rRNA from 1 species
CCGACCGGCGCACGGGUGAGUAACGCGUAUGCAACUUGCCUAUCAGAGGGGGAUAACCCGGCGAAAGUCGGACUAAUACCGCACGAAGCAGGGGCCCCGCAUGGGGAUAUUUGCUAAAGAUUCAUCGCUGAUAGAUAGGCAUGCGUUCCAUUAGGCAGUUGGCGGGGUAACGGCCCACCAAACCGACGAUGGAUAGGGGUUCUGAGAGGAAGGUCCCCCACAUUGGUACUGAGACACGGACCAA